rnacentral:rRNA from 1 species
CCCUUAGAUGUCCUGGGCUGCACGCGUGCUACAAUGAUACGUGCAACGAGUUAAUCCUGCUCUGAAAGGAGUGGGUAAUCUUAUGAAUGCGUAUCGUGCUUGGGAUUGACCAUUGUAAUUAUUGGUCAUGAACGAGGAAUUCCUAGUAAGCACAAGUCAUCAGCUUGUGCUGAUUACGUCCCUGCCCUUUGUACACACCGCCCGUCGCUCCUACCGAUUGAGUGUUCCGGUGAAUUAUUCGGACUGCAACAGUUAUCUGUCGCGGAAAGUCUUGUGAACCUUAACACUUAGAGGAAGGAAAAGUCGUAACA